ensembl:lncRNA
CACCAAAUGACUUUUGUAAGACCACACAAAAUAUUUUAAUAUGAAUGUAUAUGUACACAACAUUCUUAAUUCUUAGUUUGAACAAUUAGAAAAGAUACUUUUAUUUUUACGAUUUUAAAAAUGUCCUGUUGAAAAUGUUUUUCACUGGCCCAUAUAAUUAUAUCUAUUAGAACCUUGUGUUAACAGAGCGGACCGGGUUGAUUUUACACACAGUUGCUUCACAAGGAUCAGUGCUAGGUAGUGUCUAUGAAGCAUCAGGCUCUUGGAUUAAUACAACAGUUUAGAUGUAAUAGAGAAGACAUUGUUUAGCUAUUUAUUGCGUCUAAAUUUGUAUUUAAGUUGUAAAUUAAAUUAUUUUUUGUCUCCUGGGUUUGGAUAGAAUAAGUAAGGAUCAUUAUUCAGAAUAACGUUUAUACAGGUACUCAGAUACACACUUUCAUUCCAAAUGAACUAUUUUGUUAUUCUUUAUUGAUUGAUCAGUAAAAGUGUUAGCUAAAAUAACUGUAUUUCUAACUAUAAUAAUUAUAACACAUAACUGAUACAUAAAUAUUGUGUAUGUAUAGGUAAAUGACAGGUCUUGUUUACUGAGACUGUGUUAAUGAUAAUUGCUUUCCAUAAAUACAACAAGUUUAAUGUUCGAACACUGUUUACAUCAGCUCAGAGGAGAUCAGUUAUACUGCUCUUCUUCUUCUUCUUCUUCUUCUUCUUCUUCUUCUUCUUCUUCUUCUUCUUCUUCUUCUUCUUCUUCUUCUUCUUCUUCUUCUCUUUCUUCUUCUUCUGUUGAAGCAGUGACUUUACCCUGCAGUGAUAUUUACAGAGCAGCAGGUGUUCUGACGAAUUGUGCUACAUUGCCAAGUUCUGAGGGGACGGUGUCGGCAGUGUUCAGCUGUGUGGGAAUGAAGAAGAGUAAAUGAUGGAUCUUCAGAACUCCAGCAGUGGAGGAAGACCUCCUCUCCUAAAGGAGAAGAGAGCAGCAUCUCCAGCCCCCAGUGGAGUGUCUAUGAAGAGUGAUUGGUCCAUGGAGGAACCUCUAAAGUUCAGCAGUGGAGGAGGAAGCUCUGGGUCUCGGUACAUCACUGCACUAAACUACUGUUCUGUUCUGAGAGUGAAGCUCUUCAGUUCCUGAUCUUUAUUAAAGAUGUGCUGUGUGUUGGAGUUCACUGUGUAAAUGCUGAAGUUUCACUGUGUUUAAUGUUAACAGAACUGAAACCCAGAGAGGAGCUUCUCCAGAGCCCAGCUGUGUGUCUAUGAAGAGUGACUGGUCCAUGGGGUAUCCUCCUACUUUAAGCAGUGAAGAUGUGACCUCUGACCCACAGUGAGUAAACAUCAAAGAUUAAUUACUGAAUAUUAUAGUAAUAUACCUUGUUAGUGCAUAUAACACACACACACAGAGGAGGUCGGUGUGAGAUUGUGAGUUUCUCUAUAUGUAAUGAUCAGUGUACACAGGUAUGUGUGAUGGGAUGGCAGGAUUUAGAUUAGACUGACUGACCUGAACAAGUAAAUUACAAUAUCAGCUACAGGUUGGAGAAUUACACAUACAUCUAUAUUAAGAGUGUGCGAUACUGAUAAAAAGAAAACAAUAUCUUGAUAAUUUCUGUAAUUUUGUCAGUAACGAUAAUAAACAAUAUUUUGUAUAACA